rnacentral:rRNA from 1 species
CAAUAGCGUAUAUUAAAGUUGUUGCAGUUAAAAAGCUCGUAGUUGGAUUUCGGGUUAGUUCGACCGGUCCGCCCUUGCGGUGUGCACUGGCCGGAUUCUCCUUCCAUCUGGAGGCCAGUCCUGAUCUUAACUGAUCGGGGCUGGGGUUCAGAUCGUUUACUUUGAAAAAAUUAGAGUGUUUAAAGCAGGCCUAUGCUCUGAAUACAUUAGCAUGGAAUAAUAGAAUAGGACUUUGGUCUUAUUUUGUUGGUUUUCGAGACCGAAGUAAUGAUUAAUAGGGAUAGUUGGGGGCAUUCGUAUUUAAUUGUCAGAGGUGAAAUUCUUGGAUUGCGUUACGACGAACUACUGCGAAAGCAUUUGCCAAGGAUGUUUUCAUUGAUCAAGAACGAAAGUAAGGGGAUCGAAGACGAUCAGAUACCAU